AUUAGGCUUACGCACGGAAGCAUCCGGGCUCGUUUUCAUUUUUUCGUCCUUGGCGUAGUUUAUCGCAAAGAUGAACAUGGUGAUGAAAAAAGAAACUAACAGUUAAGUAGUGGCCUUUUUCGCUUCAAACACCAAGUGCCAUUUCCCACAUUGAGCAGUUAUGUUAUUGUAGCGUAGCGAAUAUUCUAGAAACCGCCAUAAACGUCAUAAGAAACGAAACCGGAUGUUACGCAUUCUUUGCGACAAAUAUGACGUGUUUGUUCGGGAACAUUCUACAACAUUCGGGGGCGUUCGGCAGCGCUUGAGAACAUUCGGGCGUUUGCUAUAUAAGAAAAUCGAAUUACGUUUGGAAGCAGUUCUAAUAUCGAUGCGAAGUGAAGUGUUAAGCUCUCGCUCGUGUUAUGUUAUGCAUUAUUAGUGAUAAAUAAUAAUUACUUUUAUAAAUCAAUUCAAUUCAACGUAUUUAUUGUUAUAGUUAAUUGUGAAUAUAUGUCACGUAAUUAGCUUUACAUUAACAAUAUCAUUUUCUUCACUUAGAAAAGAAUUGCGAUUUGGAAAUGGACACCUGCGAAUUGGAGAUGAUUGCAGUUCACAAAAAGAUGCAGUUUAUCCUUUGAAUUAAUGGAAUCUGCUUAUGCAUUAA